GACGAACGCUGGCGGCGUGCUUAACACAUGCAAGUCGAACGAAAAGAGGGAAAGAGCUUGCUCUUUCCGGAAUUGAGUGGCAAACGGGUGAGUAACACGUAAACAACCUGCCUUCAGGAUGGGGACAACAGACGGAAACGACUGCUAAUACCGAAUAAGUUCCAAGGGCCGCAUGGCCCAUGGAAGAAAAGGUGGCCUCUACCUGUAAGCUAUCGCCCGAAGAGGGGUUUGCGUCUGAUUAGCUGGUUGGGGGGGUAACGGCCAACCAAGGCGACGAUCAGUAGCCGGUCUGAGAGGAGGAACGGCCACGCUGGAACUGGGACACGGUCCAGACUCCUACGAGAGGCAGCAGUGGGGGAUCUUCCGCAAUGGGCGAAAGCCUGACGGAGCAACGCCGCGUGAGUGAUGACGGCCUUCGGGUUGUGAGACUCUGUGAUCCGGGACGAAAAGGCAGAGUGCGAAGAACAAACUGCAUUGACGGUACCGGAAAAGCAAGCCACGGCUAACUACGUG
rnacentral:rRNA from 1 species